CCUACGGGUGGCAGCAGUGAGGAAUAUUGGUCAAUGGUCGGGAGCCUGAACCAGCCAAGUCGCGUGAGGGAUGACGGCCCUAUGGGUUGUAAACCUCUUUUGUCGGGGAGCAAAGCGUGGCACGCGUGCCGUUUUGAGUGUACCUGGAGAAAAAGCAUCGGCUAACUCCGUGCCAGCAGCCGCGGUAAUACGGAGGAUGCGAGCGUUAUCCGGAUUUAUUGGGUUUAAAGGGUGCGUAGGCGGGCGCUUAAGUCAGCGGUAAAAGUCCGGGGCUCAACCUCGGCUAGCCGUUGAAACUGGGAGCCUUGAGUGGGCGAGAAGUACGCGGAAUGCGUGGUGUAGCGGUGAAAUGCAUAGAUAUCACGCAGAACUCCGAUUGCGAAGGCAGCGUACCGGCGCCAAACUGACGCUGAAGCACGAAGGCGUGGGUAUCGAACAGGAUUAGAUACCCGAGUAGUC
rnacentral:rRNA from 1 species